GACGUAGGGCGCGAGCGUUGUCCGGAUUUAUUGGGCGUAAAGAGCUCGUAGGCGGCUUGUCGCGUCGUCUGUGAAAUCCCGCGGCUCAACCGCGGGUCUGCAGUCGAUACGGGCAGGUUAGAGUUCGGUAGGGGAGACUGGAAUUCCUGGUGUAGCGGUGAAAUGCGCAGAUAUCAGGAGGAACACCGGUGGCGAAGGCGGGUCUCUGGGCCGAUACUGACGCUGAAGCGCGACAGCGUGGGGAGCAAACGGG
rnacentral:rRNA from 1 species